rnacentral:misc_RNA from 1 species
UUUUCCUUCAAUUUUUCUUGAUUGGAAAAUUAAAAAGAAGUUAAAUUCUUGCUACUCCCAUGUCAAUGAUAUCUGGCAUCCAAGGCCAACUUCUUGAAAUCACAGUGGUUUCUUGCAAUAAAUUAAAGGACACUGAAUGGAUUUCAAGACAAGAUCCCUAUGUUUGUCUUGAAUAUGGUAGCACCAAAUUUCGAACUCGUACUUGUACAGAUGGUGGCAAAAACCCCACAUUUCAAGAGAAAUUCGUGUUUACCCUUAUUGAAGGAUUGCAAGAGAUUAAUGUUGCCGUCUGGAAUAGCAAUACCCUUACUUAUGAUGAUUUUAUCGGAAGCGGAAAGAUUCAACUACAGAAAGUUCUAUCAAUGGGAUAUGAUGAUACUGCUUGGCCAAUCCAGACCAAGACUGGCAGGCAUGCGGGAGAAGUUCGGCUCAUAAUGUUCUAUGCUAAUGCCAAUAAGCCGGCAACAAGUUACGCUCCAUCAUACACUGCACCACAGCCGCAUACGCCUAUGUACUCUGCUCCAUCAUACGCAGCACCAGCAGCAGCUUAUCAAACACCGUCUCCAUAUCCCGCGUACCCACCUCAUUCAGCAGCAUAUCCACCAACACCUUAUCCUCCUCCUCAAACAACUGCUUACACUCCAGUCUAUCCACCGCCUUCAGCAUAUCCUCCCAUUUCGUAUCCACCACAUUCAGCGUAUCCUCCCGCGUCUUAUCCACCACCAACACAGGACUAUUCUUAUUCUCCAGGUCCAUAUCCAGGAACAUAUCCUCCGCGACCUUACUGAGG